GUUGAGACCAAAAUGGGGUCCCUGCAGCUUACACUUAGGGGAGAGAGGGGCGGACGCGCUGGCAGUGGAGACUCUGGCGCCAUGGGUCGGUCGAGGCUGCCGCAGCAGUAGCAGCAGCAGCAGCAGCAGCACCGGGGGCCGGCAGGGCGGCCCAGCGUGGACGGCCAUUCCUCCGCUACGCUCUGGGCUCGCCGUAGCUCCGAUCACCAACAAGUGACCGUUUCGCUACGGCCUGGCGCGUUCCACCGAUCAAACAUUCACAGUGUGAAAUAUAAAAAGCGGUCCGUCAGGCCCUGUAAUGAUAAUGCAGCUAAAGAACCUGAACGACUCUGAACGAACCGAAUGACGACUUACUUUCUGGCACCGAACUUCUGAAUAAACAAUGGAAAAAG